AGGGUGAUCGGCCACACUGGAACUGAGACACGGUCCAGACUCCUACGGGAGGCAGCAGUAGGGAAUCUUCCGCAAUGGGCGAAAGCCUGACGGAGCAACGCCGCGUGAGUGAUGAAGGUCUUCGGAUCGUAAAACUCUGUUAUUAGGGAAGAACAAAUGUGUAAGUAACUAUGCACGUCUUGACGGUACCUAAUCAGAAAGCCACGGCUAACUACGUGCCAGCAGCCGCGGUAAUACGUAGGUGGCAAGCGUUAUCCGGAAUUAUUGGGCGUAAAGCGCGCGUAGGCGGUUUUUUAAGUCUGAUGUGAAAGCCCACGGCUCAACCGUGGAGGUCAUUGGAACUGGAAACUUGAGUGCAGAAGAGGAAAGUGGAAUUCCAUGUGUAGCGGUGAAAUGCGCAGAGAUAUGGAGGAACACCAGUGGCGAAGGCGACUUUCUGGUCUGUAACUGACGCUGAUUGCGAAAGCGUGGGGAUCAAACAGGAUUAGAUACCCUGGUAGUCCACGCCGUAAACGAUGAGUGCUAAGUGUUAGGGGUUUUCCCCG
rnacentral:rRNA from 1 species